GUCUACGGCCAUACCACCCUGAUCUGAUCUUGGAAGCUAAGCAGGGUUGGGCCUGGUUGGUACUUGGAAGGGAGAAGUAUUGGGUCAUGCUCUUAACU
rnacentral:rRNA from 1 species